AUGGCGCUGAUGGAUGCACUGUACAGGGGCGCCGCCGCCACUGAGCUGGCCACCGGCUUUUGCCUGCCGUGCUGCCGCGACGGGCACUCCCUCCUCGGCUUUGUCAGGGUCCUCCUGCCCUGCGUUUAUGUGCUGCUCCUCGUCAUCAUCUCCGUGGGCAAUGCCCUUGAACCCCAUUCUCCAACCAUCUGGCAGCAUGCUGGACGUCGUCCUCCUCGACGCGGCCGUCCCCGACGAGCUCUCUUUGUCGGAGAAGGUGGGGCAGCAAGGCAUCCUAUCCUCCAGCGCGUGGACCGACGGCUGAGUCCUCCUGCUCUCCUAGCGUGGUCUGAACACCAUGGCAAUCUCAAUCUUGUUCGGCAUCCAAUGGCUCCUAAUUCUUUUACAACGGCUCUGCUCGGGAUUUGUGUCGAUGACGUCCAUUGA
rnacentral:rRNA from 1 species